ensembl:lncRNA
GACAAAUAGGAAGGAGCUCCCCUCGUUGCAGAGUUUGUACCAUUCAGUAGUUUGUUAGAGCUCCACUGGCAUGUUUUUAUUUCAUGAGCAGCGAAGGCCUUUUCUCUUUUCUCUCAUUCAAACCAACAACUGAUUCAGACACGUGAAGCAAAGCAUCGGCUCCAGUAUGUGCUGCUUGUGGACUGUCAUGGCGCAUGGACUCGCUGCCUUACGCACAGACGCAGCGUCACUUUCUGUCUCACUGGAAAACUGAACAUCUUCAUCAGAAGGUGAAUACCCCUCUUCAGAAUCUGAGUCAGCCAUUACUUGACGAAGUACUUUGUCAACGGUGAACAGACCUCUUGGCAUGGUAAGUUUUCUCUCGCUUUCUCGCGCUGUCUUGCGCUCUGUUACGCUUCAACUGCAACCCUUGUCUCCUCGACCGGGGGGCGGUUUUCAAACUCUAUAAACUCCAAAACUUUGAAUGAAAACACGCCCACAAAUGUUGCUCAGAUUGAAGUCCCAGAUGUCCGCCAUCUCCUGGUGUAAAGUAGUAAUUACAUGAGGCACCAUAUUUGCAGCUAUGGCUUGUUAUGUUCAGCAAUGUUGCUUGUCGUAAUAUUGCAACUUUGGCGCUUAAAGGGUUAAGGCAAACUGAGCCUCAUAUGUUGGUAAAUUUCAACAUGAAAGCAACAAAGCAUGUAAAUUUGCAUAAAUAAUUACACAUCACCAUUUUGGCACUUUGAAAAAACUAAAAUUGGUAACCUUGUCUUGCCUCAUGUCAAUCUCUACUGAUGUGUAUAUAUGGAUAUGGACUUUUUUCCAUAUUCUAGGGUCACUAUCUAAAAAUUAUUUGUUUGCUGGAGCCAUUCAAUCAUUUGAAUCUGCUCAGAGGUGUCAAACAUAUGGCCCGUUUGCCAAUACUGGCCCAUUAGAGGGUCCAGCCCAGCCCACGGAAUGUCAGGGCCCCCACCCCAGUCCCUGCAUCAGCCCCCACCUGACCUCCCUUAUUCUCCCUCUCUCCCUCCUUUCUGUUUUAUUCCCUCUGUUUUCCUCUCUUUGGUUCCUCUCUCUCUGUCCCCUCAGCCGAUUCUCGCCGCGCUGCUCUCCACAGCAGCUGCACAUCAUAACUAAUCAGUCUCAGCAGUCUCAAGCCAGUCUCACGCUCCACACCCUGCCAUAUAGUAACUUCUGCUAUUGCAUUCCGCUGGCCCCGCAUCCCAGUUCUGCCACCCUGCCAACUCGGUCCAACCUCUGGAUUCCCUACCAAAACCUCUGGAUUCCCACCAACCUCUGGAUUCCCGGUCUGCCUCUGAAUUUCCUGCCAAUCGUGUCACCCUCACCUCGGAAACUCCUGCCUGCCUCUCUGGAGCAAGACACUCCGGUCCUCUCUCCGCUGCUGUCCCACGCUACAGGGAGCACCUCCCGGGCCGCCGGUUCCCAGAACGGACACCCCUCUACCCACCCAUUAGUGAGUUCUAGUUUCAUUAAUUUCCCCAACUGUUAUUAAUUUAGUUACGUAGUUAUCAGCCUGCCUCCUUUAGUUGGUCUUGUAGUUUCGUUCAAUAAAUCAGCUCUUUUCUUCAUUCCAACCACUCGUGUCUGUGUACUCUCUGCUCAGGUUCACCCCCUCGCCAUAACAGUACUAUCUGGCCACAAUGAACCCGGAGAGUACACAGCGCAGUCCCGAACCUUCCCUGCCCCUCAACUGCUCCAGGCUGCAACCAGCCAGGGGGCACUUCUCGGGCAACAUAGUCAAGCUCUGAAGGGCUUAGCGGAGUCUAACCAAGAUAUGUUCACACAGAUGGGCUCAUUAUCAGGUGGCUGAGAUGGCCGCACUGAUUGCACAACUAUUCUCCACUACCCCUCCUAUUGCUGCCCCCCAACCUGCCUCAGCUUCAGACCCCAUAGGGGGUAAUCUGGCCCCACCAGAUGCUCGAGAACCAUAUGUACCCACACCGGAACAUUAUGGAGGGGACUCGGGAACCUGCCAAGCCUUUCUAAUGCAAACAUCUUUAGUUUUUGAGUUACAGCCACUCACCUACAGUACAGAUAGAGCCCGCAUAAUGUAUAUCCUUAGACUGCUCAUGGGGGUGGCUCGUGACUGGGGAUUGGUGGUCUGGGCUACGCAGACCCCCAUCUGUCACUCCUAUCCAGCGUUCGUCCACAAGAUGACAAACGUAUUUGACCACCCCGUCCGGGGGCAAAACGCUGGAAGACGAAUAUACUCC